GGGAUUGUGGCUCAGUGGGAGAGCGCUUGCCUCGCAUGCAAGAGGCCCUGGGUUCGAUUCCUCAGCACCA
rnacentral:tRNA from 1 species